rnacentral:rRNA from 1 species
GACGAACGCUGGCGGCGUGCCUAAUACAUGCAAGUUGAGCGCUGAAGGUUGGUACUUGUACCAACUGGAUGAGCAGCGAACGGGUGAGUAACGCGUGGGGAAUCUGCCUUUGAGCGGGAGACAACAUUUGGAAACGAAUGCUAAUACCGCAUAAAAACUUUAAACACAAGUUUUAAGUUUGAAAGAUGCAAUUGCAUCACUCAAAGAUGAUCCCGCGUUGUAUUAGCUAGUUGGUGAGGUAAAGGCUCACCAAGGCGAUGAUACAUAGCCGACCUGGGAGGGUGAUCGGCCAAAUUGGGACUGAGACACGGCCCAAACUCCUACGGGAGGCAGCAGUAGGGAAUCUUCGGCAAUGGACGAAAGUCUGACCGAGCAACGCCGCGUGAGUGAAGAAGGUUUUCGGAUCGUAAAACUCUGUUGGUAGAGAAGAACGUUGGUGAGAGUGGAAAGCUCAUCAAGUGACGGUAACUACCCAGAAAGGGACGGCUAACUACGUG